rnacentral:rRNA from 1 species
GAUGAACGCUGACAGAAUGCUUAACACAUGCAAGUCGACUGGAAAGUAUCUUCGGAUGCGAUUACGGUGGCGGACGGGUGAGUAACGCGUAAAGAACUUGCCCUUUAGAUUGGGACAACUGUUGGAAACGACAGCUAAUACCAGAUAUUAUAUUUUUGUCACAUGGCAGAGAUAUGAAAUGCUAUAUGCGCUAAAGGAGAGCUUUGCGUCCCAUUAGCUAGUUGGUAGGGUAAUGGCCUACCAAGGCGACGAUGGGUAGCCGGCCUGAGAGGGUGAUCGGCCACAAGGGGACUGAGACACGGCCCUUACUCCUACGGAGGCAGCAGUGGGGAAUAUUGGACAAUGGGCCAAAAGCCUGAUCCAGCAAUUCUGUGUGCACGAAGAAGGUCUUCGGAUUGUAAAGUGCUUUCAGGUGGGAAGAGAAAGUGACGGUACCACCAGAAGAAGCGACGGCUAAAUACGUGCCAGCAGCCGCGGUAAU